rnacentral:lncRNA from 1 species
GCAGAUAGAUGAUCCUCUCAGUCUCUGGCCUGUGGAAGGAAGCCACUGAUUUGGGAAAUGUGUUCUUUUCCAUCUCUGAGGAAAAGGAGGAUCAGAAGCAAUUCAGAUUUACUGGAAACAAACAAAGGCUAUUUUGUGGUCUUGCUACAGGUCGCUGUGAACACUCCCACCCUUUGCCAGUUAGCCUGAAAUAAGCGAUAAGUAGUGUCAACUGAAAAAAAUAAAAAGGCACAACCUAAAAGUUGAGAAUUAUGUUUUAAUUGGUGGUCUUUAUGAGGACUCAAGCUGGGGCCUUGGCAUCUCAGAGAGCUCCGAGGGGCAGCUCCAAAAAGGUAAGGGAGGAGCCAAGAUAUGUAGGGGGGUUUGCAACAAAAAUCUGGUAGUGGGAACAUCAAAUACUACUGUUAAUUCAAGGAAACCAGACCUGGCUAAUUAAUGAAUUUAGUAUUUUUUCUCUGUAUGGGAAGAUGCAAGAGUCUGGGCUCACUGAAGUCAUUCCUUUGACGUGCACUUCAACUAGGUAGGGCCAGGUAAUUAGGGAUUGCUUUUCUCCAAACUGAAUCUCCUCACAGAACACAGCUGGGGGCGGCUGCAGUGGCUGCUCAUUGGGUGGCUGCUUCGUCCUUUGUUUGCUGAUAUGGCAGGUGACAUUCUUGGUCCAUGGUAGACUGAAGGCCUUGGUAAGACACAGGCACAUUCAAGGCUGCGAGGUAAGCCCCACAAAGACUCGGAGACCUGCCACAUGGGUGACAUUUUUAGGGAUCCAAGGAUUUGGGCUUGCUGGGAGAGCCCCUCCAAAGCCAAAGCGGACUGACUGCAUCUCAUACCUCCAAUCACUAAGAAGAAACACAAUGCUUAGCAGGCAUCUUGGAAUGUUCUUCCCCGGGAAUCCUGCCAACCCAUUUUCUGGGUGACGUGGAAGGUGACCUCUUUGAGUGGGACCCAGAGAGGAAAGCAGUCUAGCAGGGAGGGUGGAAGUACAAGAGACCCUGCUGUUUGGUAGUGAGGUGUGGCAAGGCAGGUCCCUAGAGAAUGUAUGACAGGGAAGACACCACACGGCCGGCCCCAGGAGCGUCACAUGGCAUUCUGUGGAAAGGCCACGGCAGCAGCAGCAGCAGAGAAGUAUAGUCACUGGGAAGUGGCUCCUGGCCAGUGUCUCAGCCCUGGUAGAGACCAGCUCUUCAUGGGAUGGCAAGUGACCACAUGACCAUGCCAGGUUCUGUCAGACCCACCAGCUUAGAAGGUUGGGUGGACUCAUCAUAAGGGGAAGUGAGGUACCAGGACUUGGGAGCUGGCAUGAGUGGGGUCAGGAAUAAGAAAGAUGCAGGAGCAGUUGGCUGGACCGGGCAUGAGCCCUUGCUGUUAUUCGGGUCUUUCUCCCUUUGCUCUCACUGAUGGUCCUCUGUGGGGGCAGGAUGGCAUCACUCAGGGACGGCCUUGGGAGACAGCAGGGAGGGGAGAUCCCCCAGGGGACACACAUCUGGGUAGGUCAUCUGGCCACCCACUUUUCAGGGAAAGGAAAUGGCCUGAGAUACGAUUAGAAGCCACGUGACACGUAUGGCCAAACUCAUGGACAGCGGCGAAUGUUCUGGAAAGAGAAAGCCUGGUAGGUGGGAGACAAGGAGGUCUGGGGAAGAGGCCUAUGGAUGGAGUUCUAGGAGCGAGCAGAGUGUAAAGAUCUCCGUGUCGCAUGGCGGUACCCAGCAGGGCGCAUUCACUGUGGUCCACGGAAGAGGUGGGAAAGAACCAGACAGAAUGACUCUGUCAGUUGACACUAGCCAGCCUGUCUUCAGCUGCCCCUGUCUCCACCCCCCCAGUGCAGGUACAACCGUUGCCAUGGUUGCAGAGAUGCCAGCUACCUGUGAGCCCAUUGAUAGGACUUCAUUUACCAAGGUGAUCUAAGUGCUACUGGAUGUGGAAUCUGCCAGCAGUGGAGACCAGGAACACUCAGGACAGCCCAUGUUCAAUGACCUCCUGAGAUGGGGGCACAAAGCUCUGACAUUCACGUCUCCAGUUCCAGAGCUCCCUGGAGGUAGGGGCUCAGAGGCAUCCUUGCUAAGGAAGAGUUCGACUCUCCACUCUUCCUUAGAGAUGUGUCUUCAAAGAACACUCCCCAGUAAAUCUUCUCGGUGCAGUUUUGCAUCUCAGACAAUGUUUCUAGGGAAUACAGACUGGCUUUCAAGUUCUAGAGCCUAGGCUUGUUUCAGAGUUUGGAAGACGUCAUGGAACCAUAAGGUUUUGGGGAAAGAGAUCAUGUGUAAGAGUAACAGUAGCUUCCCUCCUAAAGACGAAACAAAAGAAAAAACAAAACAAAAAAAAAAUUAGGAGAAAAAAUUUCCCCAGUGAAUUUUCUUAUAUUAUUUUGCUAUAACCCUCUUUAUCCCUAAUGAUGUUUUUGCUUGAAAACCUACUUUUUCCCCCUGAUGUUAAUAUAACUAUUCCAGUUUUAUUGGCUUUAGUGGUAGGUAGCAUCUGGAAAGUCCAAAACCCUUUAAUGCAUGAGUUUUGUUUUCGUUAAUGUUAAUUUGGGUAGAAAGCUUAUUUUUUGUUACAAAUUUCCAAAGGCGUCUCAGCUCUCAGCCUGGUCUUCUCGGCACCAGCGCAUUUCCUGUGGGCGUGAGUGUGAGGUUGCUUUUCUUACCCCUCAUGGUAGGGCAGGAGUCGUCUGGAGCCCAGGUCUGUGUCAUGGGACCGGGGUUUUUCAUUAAGACCAUGAAAAUAAAAGUUCAUCAAAUCUGCUCUUAAGGCAAAAAUGAUUUCACUACCAUUCUCGCUUCUCCUGUUUUCGACUUUCCCUUAGCUUUGGGGCUGGUAAUUCCUUAUGAUGUCGUAAAGAGGUUUUUAAGAAUUAAAAAAAUUAUUCAUAAUUUGUAGCUGUUUUCAGGGUUUCGUCUGUGCCCAUAACCUGCCAUGUUACUGGAAAUGGAACUCCUAGAGGUACAUUUUUAAAGAAAGAUUGUUGAUAAUGGUGAAAUGUCAUUAACCACUCAUUUUGCAUAUGCACAGAACUUGUUUAGCUAAUGUGAUGUAAAUAUCCACUCUGAUUUUGGCAGGACAGACUAUAGAAUUCUGAAGCUCCAUCAUGUUCCUUUUAAUUAAUUUCAUGAGAGAGAGACAGACAGCGAGAAAGAGACUGAGACCUUUUUAUUGGAUGGAUGCACCCUAGCAAACAAUGUCAACAAAUGAUUUGCAUUAUACAGUUGAGACAAUAAAAUUGAAAAUAAAUAAAGCCGCUUAACUGUUUUGAGGAACAAAUAUGUAAGAUUUGAAUAUUUAUGAUGGUAAAUCAGAUUAAGUUGCCGAACGCUUUUUUCUAAUCUGUCAUCAAUGAUGCGAAGCUUUCAGGAGGAAGUUAAGUUUUGUAGUGUGUUUUGGUUAAAUAUAAAUAAUCACAUUUUCAUGGUUAUAAAAUAAUUCAUUAAAUGAAGGAGGCAGUGAAAACCGCCUUCUCCUGCAGAAACAUAUGGUUAGUGAGGAAGACGUAUGAAAAUGGGGUCAAUGUUCAACAUUUAAAUUAAAUAACAUUUCUAAAGGCUAAGAAGUAAUAGCAGAUUUUAUAUAACUGAUGAUAAAUCUUCAUGUUGAUUUCAAAAGCUGAUGACUGAAAGUAUGUUUCCGCGUUUCAAGAUUUUCCACAAAGAACCUGGAGUUAUUGUGCUUGUUAAAUUCCUCAGGACUGUCCUGUCUGCUUUCAAAGUUCUAGAUAUGGCUUUUGCCUUUGGGGUUCUCUUCUUUUUCACCAAAGUACAAGGUAAGACACUGAGGAUCAUUAGUAUUCCCCCCCAGGGAAUAUAAAAGAAAACCCAUCUUUUCCUUAUUCCCCUCUGCUUUGGAUUCUUGAUACUUCCUUUUUUUUUUUUUUUUUUUUUUUUUUUUUUUNNNNNNNNNNNNNNNNNNNNNNGCCACACCCAUGGCAUAUGGAGGUUCCCAGGUUAGGGACUGAAUCGGAGCUCCAGCUCCUGACCUACACCACAGCAACGCAGGAUCCGAGCUGCGUCUGCGACCUACACCACAGCUCAUGGACGUGCCGGAUCCUUAACCCACCGAGCAAGGCCAGGGAUUGAACCCAAGUCCUCGUGGAUACUGGUCGGGUUCGUUAACCGCCGAGCCUCGACAGGAAGUCCCUUGAUACUUCCAUUUUGAGAUGGAUUCUUCACCAAGGACACACUCGGUGGAAGAUAGGAUCUGAGGGAAGCUGAAUAAGUAGAAACUUGGUGAGUACUUGCUAUGCCACCUGGUCGGUGCUGGAAUACACUUCUCUGCCAAGUGACACUUUUAACAAUAUAUCUUUGCUCUCCUCCAAUCCCCAGACCCCUCUCUUUCCUUGCUGGGACCAUAAUGUCUGAAUAAUGCUUUAUAAUGUUCCUAAUAUGUUAUAGACAUUUUGUCAGAUUAUUUUUAGGCGCCUCGCAUUUUGUUGUUUCUAAAGAAGAUAAGAUAGCAUAAUUUUUUUUUGCUAGUAUUAGGUUUUUUUUUUUUUUUAUGGCCACACCCAUGGCAUAUGGAAGAUCCCUGGGCCAGGGGUUGAAUUUGAGCCACAAAUGCAACAUGCGCUGCAGCAAUGCUGGAUCUUUAACACACUGCGUUGAGCCAGGUAUCAAACCCACAUUUUCUGGGAUUUUUUCCUAACAUCUUGCCUACUGCUUUCCACUCAUUACAUUUCUUUUCAAAAAUGUAUGCAUAGUUAAAAAAUACAUCUUUGUAUUAAUAAUAAUCAUUCAAGCAUAUAGAGGGUUUUUUAGGUGUUACUCUUCUAGCACUUUGUAUGUAUUAACUCCUUUUAUCCUCAUGACAGGUCUAUGAGGUAAGUAAUAUUAUUGUUCCUGUUUUAUUGGUGGUGUUAGAGAAAAAAUUAUUCUGACACUUGUUAAAAUGGUUAAUUUGGGACUAUUGCAGUAGGUGUCAAGACCAUCACAACAGUUGGGAGAAAUCGGAAUCAAUUCCAAAUGUAACAAGAACAAGCAGGGAUUCAUAGCCAGGAGCGGAAUGAAGAGGAGUCUGUGGAUGGACAAUUACUAGGAGGACACACCAAGGGUCAGAGGAUUCCUGCUGACCUGACUUAACAGGAUUCUCGCUGAAGGCCAGUCAAAGGAAAAGAGAAGUUGAUGACCAAGUAUUUUUGUGACUGCAAAACACUAAACUAUCAUCACCCAUUGAUUAGAAAGGGCGUAUCUGCGCUGUGCACCUGGCGGCGUUCAAGGAAGCUGGCCGUUUCCCCUUUGAGCUGCCUUCCCCUGGGGCUGAGACUCUCCCGGGGCCUGAUUCCUGUCAUUCUGACAAUGUCCCACUCCGAUUUGGCAGCUGGGAUUCCUGUAAAGGGGCUCCAUCGUAUGAGGUCCCAUGAUCUGGUCUUGUUUGUUCAAAAAGAAAAACAAAAGGAAAAGAAACUCCUUUUGCAGAAGAAAAUCACGACGAGGCACAGACUCCAGAAGCCCUCGGCACAGCAGACACUUCCGUCUCCGUUUAGAGGCACAGAGACCAGGCGUCUUUCCUCCCUCUGCCUUGCUUAUGCUUGCCCAUGGCUGGAAUACAGUUCCUGGAAGCUGCGAUGAUGGGGGGGUGGGGGGAGAAAUCCUCAGGAUCUGAAUACCUGCCCCCGUGAGCCUUCUCCUGAUUGCUUUUCUGAUGAUAACGUCAUCGCGGUAUCAGUGUGUUUUAAUGGGGACAGUUGUCUUCGCAUUGUUUGUCUGCAUCACAAAUCCGAAGGGGAAACACAGGAACGGAAAGGCCUGUGUCUUCACGAUGUGCCUGGAGGCACAACCAAGGGGUGCAUUCUCUUCAGAUGCUUUCUGAUUUUUGGUCCAGGACUUUCAGAGUACAAAUAGGAUGCCUCCUUUUUCUUGGCCAAGGGCUGCUGGUGGGACCCCUCCGUGGGCUGGUUUUAUGGAUUCAAAAGGCGACUCUGGGCUUGGAUGUAUUGACACAUUAGUCUUUAAAGAAUUUAGUCUUUGGUACUAAAGAAUAAUGUAAUGCAGGUUUAAUUAAAGUGGAAGCUUAAAGCUGAUGUUAAUUUAGUGGUACAGCCAUCUCUCAGUCAUCCUGGACGUUGAAAGAGGCUGUGGUCUGGAUAAUCCGAAUUAAUGGAUAGCCCAGAAUACAUGAUAUUUCCUCCCCUAAAUUCAUCAGGAUUGCUGUUCUAAUUUUCCUACUGGGGGCUACUGCUGAAGUCACCAUGAGAGUCGAUUUUGAGGAAAGCAGGACCCUGGCCUGGAGAAGAGAGGCCGUGGCCUUUGAGGCAUGCAUUCAGCACCUCACCGCCUCAGCUUUCUGAAACGUCGCAAAUAAUUGGGAGGAAGGUACCACUCACCGUAACAUAGAUGAGGAAACAGACACAGAGUUGAAAGACUGUUCAAGGUCAUUGACCAGAAAUUAGUAGAACAAAUGGUUCUAUGUCUCUCAGUCCAACUCAUGUGUUGAGCAGAAGGAAAAAAAGCCCUGUUUUCAGGUAAACACAAAUUGCAAUGUUUUUUUUUACCCCUGAGAAAAUGGUGCAGAUUCUCUUCU